rnacentral:tRNA from 1 species
GGGGUAUUAGCUCAGUUGGGAGAGCGUCUGAUUUGCAAUCAGAAGGUCACAGGUUCGAAACCUGUAUGCUCCACUA